ensembl:lncRNA
GAAUAACCACCUAAGGGAACUAACAGAGGACUUAAAUCUCAUAAUAUCCUCAUGAUAAAUUUUACAACUGUUUUAUACUGAGAAAAAUCUUGAUUUAAGGUUUUCUGCAAUUAAAUAUUUGAAUGCAAUUUUAUAAAUGGAUUACUGUUUCUUGAAAUAUCAGUCAAAACUUUAAGGUUUGUACAACGCGCAGGAGACACUUCAUGUGGCUGACGCUGUUACCUUCUGGCAAAUAAGCUAAAGUUUGGGCAUUUCUCUGGAGUCAGCACAUCAAUCUCAGAGCCAUUAAGGACAAAUUACCAAAGGCAUAAAGUGAUUUUUUUAAUUUGGAACCCUAAAAGUUGAAGAUCUAAAAAUUAUCCACCAUGUGAAAAUGUUGCAUUUGCAUCUCAACCACCAUCUUAAUGCUGUGUUUCUCCUAGGCAGCAUCCCGUGGACUGCAACAUUCAGAAACUUGGAAUUUUUUAGAGUAUUUAUAAAAUGCUGUACCCACCUCCCUUAUUCCAUGCUUUGAAGCUUGCCGUGUUUUUAGAGCAUAUUUAAAAGAAAACAGAACUGGAUCAGCACACUGAAAGUCACCCACAGACAACCUGUUCCACUGAUACUUUACAUUUAUACUGCAUCCUUUGUCCUGAAGGAUUUCUCUGCUUCAUUCUCAUUCCGUGUAGGCUGAUGAGACCGCUCAGGUAUCUGCAGGAGUUAGUCAGGGAACGCUGGGACAUGUGCUUCAUGUUCAGAGGCCAGUAAGGAAAAUUGGGCAUUUGUUAUUUCAUGGGUAGUGACAUCACCAUCUCAGAUCUCCUUAAGGAAAAUAACUUCCACAGCUGAAAACUAGACCUGAAAGCAAACACAAUCUGAAUUCUUAUGGCAAGGAGCUGGAGCGUGCUGUACUUCACAAUGGGUCAUUACUGCUUGCUAUUCCUUCCGUGUUUUGCAUUUACCAUGCUGCACUUCAAACAUUUCUAUGUGAAAUGCAUCACUUUAAAAUCUGUGGAUACAGAAGGUUCUUUCCUGCUUGUUGAAGUAAUUGAGUGAAGUGAAGGUUGAUCAUAAAAUGUAAUGAGAGGGGAAGAGAGAACUCUUAUGCUGGAAAAAGCACUAUAAAUAUUUUCCUGAGAUCAUUAACACAACCUUGUAACACUUCGCCUCGUGCAGCGGAAAGAAUUAUACAAUCAUUUUAUGAACUUUCUAAAAAGUGUUUACAAUUCCAUCCCAAAUAUAUAUGGCUUUUUUUUUUUUUUAAAGCAGAAAAAAAAAAAAAAACCAGCAACCUAUAAUUCUUAAUUCUGCUAUCAAAGUUAUUUCCAGCCUUUGAAGGGAUUCACUUCGCAGGGCCUCGGCAGCGUCAAACAAAUGUUCGACUUUUAUUCUGACACUUCUUGAAGAAUUUGAUUGAAACUAUAUAUGUCGAGAUAACACCCAACAAAGUGCCCCUCUUGCGUUUGUUUCAAGAUAUUUUUGGAAGCAACAGAGACGACCUUGGAUGGAGCUGCUUUUCCAAUUUAGGACUUCAUUUGGUCUAAGAGAGUAAAAUUAUACUCUUCGGUCCUUUUGUGUACCCACAAACAAAACAGUGUUGUUACCUUCUGCUAUUGUAAAAUUGUUUUUCUGUACCUUGUUAGCAGUGUCAAUCUGUUGAGGAUAAGAACUGUUUUAGGUAAUCCACAGUUACAUUCAAACACACAUAUAAAUAGUCCUCCAGUGUAUCACAUGUCCCUGUAAAACAUUGUGCAAUCCAAACGAACAGUGGUCCUUUAUGUAAUGCCUUUCUUUCUUUAUAACUAGUGUUAAUAAAUAAGCUUUAGCCUUUGUCUUUGCUUAUAGACAUCAAGAAUCUGAUUUCAAGCCAGGGCUCACACAGACUUGAUGUAAAGUCUAAAUGAGGAGAGUGGUAAUGCUGGCGAAUGCGCUGCGAUGGGACCGCCACCUGUCUGGAUUGCAGGAGAUAUAUUGUUUGUCAAGCUUCAAGUUUAAAUCCAAGUAACUGUGGACAGCUGACGGGAAGCAACUGUGAAUCGAUCCUGGGAAUGAACAUGUAUUUGAGUCAUUUGGCUGGUUUAUGUCUCCUGUGUAGAGGUGUAGCUUCACAAAAUGCCUACUGCCUGCAGGAAGAACUCCCUCCGAACAGAUUCUCUACCUGAGCAUCAGGGAAGGAAAUAAAUCUGGAACUGGUGACAUUUCAAGGACAAGGAAAACAACCGCUCGGAGAAUUAUCUGAUUCCGUUGGUGUUUAUUUUUACUUAUAUCUAGCAAUCUGCGCUCCAACAGAAGAUGCUUAUUUGCAGAAAAGAAGGCUGUCUCCUGUCUGGACUGGUGCCUGGUCUGGAGAAAAGAUGGCACUAAGGACAAGAGCAACUUCCAACUGCCUGUACCCAUAAAAUGGUGGAAAAUAAAGGGACUGAAAGCAGCAUGAAGGGACGUAAGAGUCUGGAAAAGAACAUCUAUUUUCUCCACAGUGAAGCAAGUUUUAAUCCAAGUUUUGUUUUACUACUCCAUUGAAGACAACAUACUGACUGUCCCGUGAAGCGCAGACAUGCUGUCAAGAAGCCCUUACCUGGACACUGGC